AUGCGAGUCGAGCGUCUCUAGCUAUGUUGAGACGCGGCAGACGGCUCAGUAACGCGUGGCUAACCUACCCUCAGGACGAGGAUAACCCGGGAAACUGGGGCUAAUACUCGAUAGGUGAGGAUGUCUGGAAUGACUUCUCACCCAAAGGGCCUUGGAAACAUGCUUUCAAUGUCGCCUGGGGAUGGGGCCGCGUCCGAUCAGGUUGUUGGUGAGGUAACGGCUCACCAAGCCUAUAACCGGUACGGGCCGUGAGAGCGGUAGCCCGGAGAUGGGUACUGAGACAAGGACCCAGGCCCUACGGGGCGCAGCAGUCGCGAAAACUCCGCAAUGCACGAAAGUGUGACGGGGCUACCCCGAGUGCCAUCCGCUGAGGAUGGCUUUUCUUUGGUAUAACUAGCCAGGGGAAUAAGGAGAGGGCAAGACUGGUGUCAGCCGCCGCGGUAAUACCAGCUCUCCGAGUGGUAGGGAUGAUUAUUGGGCUUAAAGCGUCCGUAGCCGGCUUAGCAAGUCUCCUGUUAAAUUCAGCGACCUAAUCGUUGACCCGCGGGAGAUACUACUAAGCUAGGAGGCGGGAGAGGUCGACGGUACUUCUGGGGUAGGGGUGAAAUCCUAUAAUCCCGGGAGGACCACCAGUGGCGAAGGCUGUCGACUAGAACGCGCUCGACGGUGAGGGACGAAAGCUGGGGGAGCGAACCGGAUUAGAUACCCGGGUAGUCCCAGCCGUAAACGAUGCGAGCUAGGUGUUGGGAUGGCUACGUGCCAUUCCAGUGCCGCAGGGAAGCCAUUAAGCUCGCCGCCUGGGGAGUACGGCCGCAAGGCUGAAACUUAAAGGAAUUGGCGGGGGAGCACCACAAGGCGUGAAGCUUGCGGUUCAAUUGGAUUCAACGCCGGAA
rnacentral:rRNA from 1 species